rnacentral:tRNA from 1 species
AGACCCGUGGUGUAACGGCAGCACCGCAGAUUUUGGUUCUGCUUGUCCAGGUUCGAAUCCUGGCGGGUCUA